ensembl:snoRNA SNORA66 Small nucleolar RNA SNORA66
GUGCAUACGCGAUCACUAACUCUGCAUAAUGUUGCAGAAGUGAGGGGAACCAGGUUUGCUAAAGUAAUCGUGGUGAUAGAAAUGUUAUGAGCCUCAGAAGUUACUGAGCUGCUCCAUUCUAUCCGAGUACAGUG